rnacentral:rRNA from 1 species
GAUGAACGCUGGCGGCGUGCUUAACACAUGCAAGUCGAACGGAAAGGCCGAAGCUUGCUUCGGUACUCGAGUGGCGAGCGGGUGAGUAACACGUGGGUGAUCUGCCCUGUACUUCGGGAUAAGCUUGGGAAACUGGGUCUAAUACCGGAUAUGACGAUCUCUUGGAUGGGGUUGUGGAAAGCUUUUGCGGUAUGGGAUGAGCUCGCGGCCUAUCAGCUUGUUGGUGGGGUAAUGGCCUACCAAGGCGUCGACGGGUAGCCGGCCUGAGAGGGUGUACGGCCACAUUGGGACUGAGAUACGGCCCAGACUCCUACGGGAGGCAGUAGUGGGGAAUAUUGCACAAUGGGCGCAAGCCUGAUGCAGCGACGCCGCGUGGGGGAUGACGGCCUUCGGGUUGUAAACUCCUUUCGCAAUCGACGAAGCCUUUUGGUGACGGUAGGUUGAGAAGAAGCACCGGCUAACUACGUG